UAGCCUUUGGAAACGAAGAUUAAUACCCCAUAGUAAGUAACUAUGGCAUCAUUAUUACUUUAAAGAUUUAUCGGUAUAAGAUGAGUAUGCGUUCUAUUAGCUAGAUGGAGAGGUAACGGCUCCCCAUGGCGACGAUAGAUAGGGGUCCUGAGAGGGAGAUCCCCCACACUGGUACUGAGACACGGACCAGACUCCUACGGGAGGCAGCAGUGAGGAAUAUUGGACAAUGGAGGCAACUCUGAUCCAGCCAUGCCGCGUGCAGGAAGACUGCCCUAUGGGUUGUAAACUGCUUUUAUACAGGAAGAAUAAGGCUUACGUGUAAGCUGAUGACGGUACUGUAAGAAUAAGCACCGGCUAACUCCGUGCCAGCAGCCGCGGUAAUACGGAGGGUGCAAGCGUUAUCCGGAAUCAUUGGGUUUAAAGGGUCCGUAGCGGGUUUAUAAGUCAGUGGUGAAAUGCUGUGGCUCAACCAUAGCACUGCCAUUGAUACUGUAGAUCUUGAAUCGUUGUGAAGUGGUUAGAAUAUGUAGUGUAGCGGUGAAAUGCUUAGAUAUUACAUAGAAUACCGAUUGCGAAGCAGAUCACUAACAACGUAUUGACGCUGAUGGACGAAAGCGUAGGUAGCGAACGGGAUUAGAUACCCCGGUAGUCUACGCCGUAAACGAUGGAUACUAGUUGUUUGGUAUUUAUACUG
rnacentral:rRNA from 1 species